rnacentral:rRNA from 1 species
CCUACGGGAGGCUGCAGUGGGGAAUAUUGGACAAUGGGGGGAACCCUGAUCCAGCCAUGCCGCGUGUGUGAAGAAGGCCCUCGGGUUGUAAAGCACUUUCAGUGAGGAAGAACGCCUGGUGGUUAAUACCCAUCAGGAAAGACAUCACUCACAGAAGAAGCACCGGCUAACUCCGUGCCAGCAGCCGCGGUAAUACGGAGGGUGCGAGCGUUAAUCGGAAUUACUGGGCGUAAAGCGCGCGUAGGUGGCUUGAUAAGCCGGUUGUGAAAGCCCCGGGCUCAACCUGGGAACGGCAUCCGGAACUGUCAAGCUAGAGUGCAGGAGAGGAAGGUAGAAUUCCCGGUGUAGCGGUGAAAUGCGUAGAGACCGGGAGGAAUACCAGUGGCGAAGGCGGCCUUCUGGACUGACACUGACACUGAGGUGCGAAAGCGUGGGUAGCAAACAGGAUUAGAUACCCUAGUAGUC